rnacentral:rRNA from 1 species
UACAGAGGUCUCAAGCGUUGUUCGGAUUCAUUGGGCGUAAAGGGCGCGUAGGCGGUGCGGUAAGUCACCUGUGAAAACUCUGGGCUCAACUCAGAGCCUGCAGGCGAAACUGCCGUGCUUGAGUGUGGGAGAGGUGCGUGGAAUUCCCAGUGUAGCGGUGAAAUGCGUAGAUAUCGGGAGGAACACCUGUGGCGAAAGCGGCGCACUGGACCACAACUGACGCUGAGGCGCGAAAGCUAGGGGAGCAAACAGG